rnacentral:rRNA from 1 species
AACGAACGCUGGCGGCAGGCUUAACACAUGCAAGUCGAGCGCCCCGCAAGGGGAGCGGCAGACGGGUGAGUAACGCGUGGGAAUCUACCCAUCUCUACGGAAUAACGCAUGGAAACGUGUGCUAAUACCGUAUACGUCCUUCGGGAGAAAGAUUUAUCGGAGAUGGAUGAGCCCGCGUUGGAUUAGCUAGUUGGUGGGGUAAAGGCCUACCAAGGCGACGAUCCAUAGCUGGUCUGAGAGGAUGAUCAGCCACACUGGGACUGAGACACGGCCCAGACUCCUACGGGAGGCAGCAGUGGGGAAUAUUGGACAAUGGGCGCAAGCCUGAUCCAGCCAUGCCGCGUGAGUGAUGAAGGCCCUAGGGUUGUAAAGCUCUUUCACCGGUAAAGAUAAUGACGGUAACCGGAGAAGAAGCCCCGGCUAACUUCGUGCCAGCCGCCGCUGUAAGAC